rnacentral:rRNA from 1 species
GAUGAACGCUAGCGGCAGGCUUAACACAUGCAAGUCGAGGGGCAGCGCGGGGCGGCAACGUCCUGGCGGCGACCGGCGGAAGGGUGCGUAACGCGUGAGCGACGUGCCCGUUGCCCGGGGACAACCGGUGGAAACGCCGACUAAUCCCCGAUGGGACGGAGGCCCUCAUGGGUCUCUGUUGAAAGUUACGGCGGCGACGGAUUGGCUCGCGUCCGAUUAGCUUGUUGGCGGGGUAACGGCCCACCAAGGCUACGAUCGGGAGGGGUUCUGAGAGGAAGGUCCCCCACAAUGGAACUGAGACACGGUCCAUACUCCUACGGGAGGCAGCAGUGAGGAAUAUUGGUCAAUGGGCGGAAGCCUGAACCAGCCAUGCCGCGUGCGGGAAGGAGGCCCUAUGGGCUGUGAACCGCUUUUGCCUGGGGGCAAUAAGGGCGUCGCGCACGUCCNAUGAGAGUACCAGGGGAAUAAGCAUCGGCUAACUCCGUGCCAGCAGCCGCGGUAAUACGGGGGAUGCGAGCGUUAUCCGGAUUCAUUGGGUUUAAAGGGUGCGUANNCUGUGCGUCAAGUCAGGGGUGAAAUUCCGGGGCUCAACUCCGGGGCUGCCCUUGAUACUGUCNCGCUGGAGUGCGGAUGCCGCCGGAG